CCAUCCCAGUUCGGAUUGUACUCUGCAACCCGAGUACAUGAAGCUGGAAUCGCUAGUAAUCGCGAAUCAGAAUGUCGCGGUGAAUACGUUCCCGGGUCUUGUACACACCGCCCGUCACACCAUGGGAGAUGGAUAUGCCCAAAGUCAGUGACCUAACCGCAAGGGAGGAGCUGCCUAAGGUGGAGCCAUUAACUGGGGUGAAGUCGUAACAAGGUAGC
rnacentral:rRNA from 1 species